UGGGGAAUAUUGGACAAUGGGCGAAAGCCUGAUCCAGCCAUGCCGCGUGUGUGAAGAAGGUCUUCGGAUUGUAAAGCACUUUAAGUUGGGAGGAAGGGCAGUAAGUUAACACCUUGCUGUUUUGACGUUACCGACAGAAUAAGCACCGGCUAACUCUGUGCCCG
rnacentral:rRNA from 1 species